UACGAAGGGAGCUAGCGUUGUUCGGAAUCACUGGGCGUAAAGCGCACGUAGGCGGAUGUGUCAGUCAGGGGUGAAAUCCCGGAGCUCAACUUCGGAACUGCCUUUGAUACAGCACGUCUUGAGUCCGAUAGAGGUGGGUGGAAUUCCCGGUGUAGUGGUGAAAUGCGUAGAUAUCGGGAGGAACACCAGUGGCGAAGGCGACUACCUGGCCUGUUCUUGACGCUGAGGCGCGAAAGCUAGGGGAGCAAACAGG
rnacentral:rRNA from 1 species